ensembl:lncRNA
GUUUAUUGUGGAUAACAUUGUAAAAAAUUGUACUAAAUAAAUUUAUUUUUCUUUCUGUCAUCUUGUAAAUUAUAGCAAUACUUGUUGAAAGAAGGAAACAAAUUUUCUAGGUCCAGAGAGAAGCCAGUACAAAAAAAUGUUAUUACCAGAAAUUCUCUGAACCAUAAAGAAGUAUUGGAAGCAAAGAGUGCAGGCCAAGAUAUUGCAAAUGAGGGACUUUGGCAGAAGCCUUCUCUUGUGGUUGGCAAGGUACCUGUCAGGAAGGUCAGAACAGGUAACUCCGGAGGUAGAACCUGGAAAUGAUGAGAGGCUGUCAAAGAAAAAAGGCAACAAAAUUACAAAGCUACAAGAAGUUCGUGAAAGCAAGAUGGAAGCUCCUCAUUGUGGAAAUCAAGGAAUCUGUGAAGAUGGGAAGUGUUCAGCAAGUAAAGAAGAUACCGUAAAUAAAGGCAUUGUUGGAGAAAAAAAGGGAAUGGGGAAGUAUGUGUGCCUUCUACAUUGGGACACCAUGGAAGAAUCAAGCAAUAAACCAAUAGUAAGCAACCAGAUAAAAGAUGUGACUGGUAAAAAUAAACUGGAAGUUCUUAAAGGAAAGGACUCAAAGAAAAGGCAAGAAAAACAUAAGCAAAAACACACUGAGAAGUCUCAAAAGGCAGGGAAGCCAGUAAAGGAGAGUGGUGGCGAGUACAAGAAAACAAAAGAGAAGAUAGGAAGAUUUGAAAUGAUUGAGAGGGACCAUGGUGAUGCCCAAAAUGUCCUGAAAGGAAAGGCUGAAAAGGAAAACAGUAGUGCAAAAGAGAACACAAAAGAAUCUUUAAAAAAAGAAAAUGCAGAUCAAAUAGAAUAUGACUGUAUCAGCAGAAUGGGAGGAGAUCAUGAGAAGCAGUUGGAGAGCCAAAAAGGGGAUAACAAAAUCGUCCCUGUGGAAAUGAACACUGAAAGGAAAAAUCAGAUAAUAAUAAACUUCAAAAGACAAAUGUCAUUUGAAGGGAAACAUGUACAAAAUAAUGAAGAUAAAGAGGAAAAAGAACUGAGGGUUGAAAAAAUUAAGGAAGAGAAUGAAGAGGAAAAACAAGAUGGCGCCAUGAAAGCAAAGGAAAGGAAGCUGCAGGAGAACAAGACUAAAUCAGAAAUUUUGGUUUCUAAAGAAGAAAAGAAAAGGAAGAAAAGCAGGGGAGAAGAGGAAGGUGUGCACAAGUUAAAGGAAAGAAAGAUAGAAUAUUGGGACCUAGAGGAAGAAAAGCAAAGAGAGAGAAGAGAUAUAAAGACUGAAAGUGAGGAAAGUAGACAGACACAAGAAGAAAAGCUGAGAGGAAGCCAUGAAGGAGGGAAAAAAAACAAAAGACAGGACAAAUCAAGAGAUAGGAACAAAUCCAUACAAGAAAAAGCUCUAAAAGGCAAGAAAGAAGCUAAAAAUAAAUUCCUGGUAAAGAAGAGUAGAACAAAAGAUAAAGUGAAAAAGGAAGAGCUGUUAGUUAAUGAACCAUGUUCCAAGAAAAAGGAAAAGAAAAAAGAUAAGGAAAGGAAUAAAGCCCCAAAGGAGGAAAAUGAAAAGGGAAAAAAGAAAAGGCAAGAGGAAGAAAAUAAAUGGAAAUGGUAUGUUUCACUUGACGCUAGGUCUGACCUUUGAAGUCCAUAGGACCCAAAUUCCUAUGAACAGAUUUCAAACAAAUGCAGUAUGUAUGUGUUUAAAAUGAAAGUACAAGGGCAGCUAGGUGACUUAUUGGAUAGAACACUGGCCUUGAAGUCAGGAGGACCUGAGUUCAAAUCUGGCCUCAGACCAAGCACUUGACAUGUACUAGCUGUGUGACCCUGGGCAAGUCAUUUAACCCCAAUUGCCAAAAAAAAAAUACAACUGACUCUUUGUGUUGGGUCUUAGAGGAGAAAACAUUACAUAAGGUCAACAUAGCUUAUUUUGAGGAAGUUUAUAUUAAUGCAUGCUUUAAAAAAUUAGGUAACUCAACAUUUGCCACCUUGGCUGGAAAUUGGGGUAUUGAGGUAAAUCUGAUGAGUAGAUUGGCCAUUACUAAUCUGUGGCUAGCCAUAUUUGAGGCAUAUAACAAAAUCACUUAACACUAAGAUUAUGUAGAACAGCC